AUGAACGCUAGCGACAGGCCUAACACAUGCAAGUCGAGGGGCAGCGCGUUUGAAGCUUGCUUCAGAUGGCGGCGACCGGCGCACGGGUGCGUAACAGGUGUGCAAUCUGUCCAUAGUCGGGGGAUAGCCCAGCGAAAGCUGAAUUAAAACUCCAUGUGAAUCGAAGCCGCAUGACUUUGAUUUGAAACGCAAGGACUAUGGGUGAGCACGCUUCUGAUUAGGUAGUUGGUGAGGUAACGCUCACCAAGCCGACGAUCAGUAGGGGUUCUGAGAGGAAGGUCCCCCACAUUGGAACUGAGACACGGUCCAAACUCCUACGGGAGGCAGCAGUGAGGAAUAUUGGUCAAUGGAUGAGAGUCUGAACCAGCCAAGUCGCGUGAAAAGGAUGAAGGUUCUAUGGAUUGUAAACUUCUUUUGUCCGAGGGUAAAGUGAGCCACGUGUGGUUUAUUGCAAGUAUCGGACGAAUAAGCAUCGGCUAACUCCGUGCCAGCCGCGGC
rnacentral:rRNA from 1 species